rnacentral:tRNA from 1 species
GUUUUAAUAGUUUAACUAAAACCUUGGUCUUGUAAACCAAUAAUGAGAAUUUUUCUCUUAAAACU